AUUGCUUCUUGGCCUUUAGGCUAAGGUCAAGUGUAGCAUCUGUUCUUAUCAGUUUAAAGUAGGUGAAGAAUUAAAAUGGAGUGUAAGAAAAGGAGAUUGAGUUUGCAAUUCAGUAUUUCAUGGUCUCCAGACCUUUGUUCUUUUUUCCAAAAUGGCAGUGAAUUUAGUGGUUCAUUU
ensembl:snRNA U2 U2 spliceosomal RNA